rnacentral:rRNA from 1 species
GAUGAACGCUGGCGGCGUGCCUAAUACAUGCAAGUCGAGCGAACAGACGAGGAGCUUGCUCCUCUGACGUUAGCGGCGGACGGGUGAGUAACACGUGGAUAACCUACCUAUAAGACUGGGAUAACUUCGGGAAACCGGAGCUAAUACCGGAUAAUAUGUUGAACCGCAUGGUUCAAUAGUGAAAGACGGUUUUGCUGUCACUUAUAGAUGGAUCCGCGCCGCAUUAGCUAGUUGGUAAGGUAACGGCUUACCAAGGCAACGAUGCGUAGCCGACCUGAGAGGGUGAUCGGCCACACUGGAACUGAGACACGGUCCAGACUCCUACGGGAGGCAGCAGUAGGGAAUCUUCCGCAAUGGGCGAAAGCCUGACGGAGCAACGCCGCGUGAGUGAUGAAGGUCUUCGGAUCGUAAAACUCUGUUAUUAGGGAAGAACAAAUGUGUAAGUAACUAUGCACGUCUUGACGGUACCUAAUCAGAAAGCCACGGCUAACUACGUG